rnacentral:rRNA from 1 species
AUGCAACGCGAAGAACCUUACCUGGCCUUGACAUCCACGGAAUUUGGCAGAGAUGCCUUAGUGCCUUCGGGAACCGUGAGACAGGUGCUGCAUGGCUGUCGUCAGCUCGUGUUGUGAAAUGUUGGGUUAAGUCCCGCAACGAGCGCAACCCUUAUCCUUUGUUGCCAGCACGUAAUGGUGGGAACUCAAAGGAGACUGCCGGUGAUAAACCGGAGGAAGGUGGGGAUGACGUCAAGUCAUCAUGGCCCUUACGGCCAGGGCUACACACGUGCUACAAUGGCGCAUACAAAGAGAAGCGACCUCGCGAGAGCAAGCGGACCUCAUAAAGUGCGUCGUAGUCCGGAUCGGAGUCUGCAACUCGACUCCGUGAAGUCGGAAUCGCUAGUAAUCGUAGAUCAGAAUGCUACGGUGAAUACGUUCCCGGGCCUUGUACACACCGCCCGUCACACCAUGGGAGUGGGUUGCAAAAGAAGUAGGUAGC